AUGCGAGCACGUUCUCACUCAUGGCAGAGCCAGGGCGAGGAGGACAGCGCCUGCAUCGCGCUCUCCCCCUCCCCCGCCCGCCAGCCCAGGCGGCCUCAGCAGCAGCGACCAGAGGAGCCCCUGCAGCAACGCAACGGCCAAGUGGACGCCUCCAUCUACAGCCUCGUGGCGAAUGAGAACUGUUAGGACGCGGCCAUUGUGCGCAACAAGGACUCGCCCUCCAUCUGGGCCGCCGUCCCAGGGAAAACCUUCAUCAACAUCAUGCCAGCUGAGGUUGGUGUCCUGGUUGGCAAAGACUGGUCAAGCUUUUUCAUGAAUGGGCUGACACUGGGGGGCCAGAAAUAUACUGUGGUCCCAGACUCACUGCUACAGGAUGGGGAAUUGACCGUGGAUCUUUAUAUGAAGAGCAUCGGUGGAGCCCCCACCUUCAACGUCAUUGUCACUAUGACUGCCAAGACGCUAGGCCUGCUGAUGGGCAAAGAAGGUGUCCAUGGCAGUUUCAUCAACAAGCAAUGUUAUGAAAUGGCCUCCCACCUUCAGCGUUCCCAGUACUGACCUCCUUUGUUCCUUCCCCUCCACCGCUCCCCACAGCUUUGCCCCCAUUUCCUUCUCAUACACACACCAUUUUAAUUUCAGAGGCCAUUACCCCACACACCUUAUUGCUGUCAAAGCCACAUGGGCUGGGGACCAGGGAUAUACUGACAGACACCUUCCCCUACCCAUACCCCUCCUGUGUGUGGUUGGAAAACUUUUUUGUUUUGAGGGAUUUUUUAUGAAUAAAAAAGAUUCUACUAAAAAAAA